rnacentral:lncRNA from 1 species
UUUUAUUUUUCUUUUCCUUUUGGAAUAAAGAAACUUCGGUGACGACUCUGUUAUUAUUUCGAACGUGUGAACGCUCAUGGUAUUUUUCACGCCGCGACACUACACCUUUGACUAGCUACUUCGACAUAACCUAUUGCUAGCUCUCGAAGAACAUCGAAUUAUAACUUCUAAUAAUUUUUUAUAAAAUAAAUAAUGACCCAACAAAUUGAUUUUAACAAUGAACCCAAAAAAUAAAUAUUAAAAAAACC